GUCUUCUGUCCAUCAGCUCUCAUGCCUGUGUAGUGCUUCUCAUCAAACAUCUGCGAUUGACCUGAUCAAGCAGAUGCCAUCAACAAUUGAUGAAGCAAUACAUAAAAUGUAUUUGAGUAUACACUCAGGUCCUUAGAGAAAAUAACAUCUAAAAGGGCUGAGCAGAAUGUUUGAGGGCGAUCUGGAUGUGACAUCUGUCACCUCAUUGACAGGCUUGAUUUCUGUGGAUCUUGCUGACUAGGUGGGGUCCCCUUCCUCCCUCACUGCUCCAUGUGUGUCCCUCUCAAAGCUUUAUAUUCAGUUGAAGUGGACAACCUUCCCUGAUACAGGAAGACUGUUCUUUGGUGAGGGGUAUAGGAGUAGCUGCGCUUCCCUGCUAGAACCUCCAAACAAGCUCUCAAGGUCCAUUUGUAGAACAAAGGAUAGUCAAGCUUCCAAGGCUCCAGACACAUCCAAUGGGGCACUGCAUGUGGCAACCUGCCUUUCUUAAAAACAAAAAACAACAACAACAAAAAAAAGGACUGAGCAAUUUGCACAUUGAGAGUCACAUUUCAAGACUUUGGUGCAUUGUUUGUACAUUGCCCAUAUCACAGGGAAGGACAAAGUAACUGAAAUCUGUGAGGCAUGCCCUUGGUGCUGUAAUACCUGGGUAUAUCAUGUCAUUUCACUCCUACACGGUCCAUUGAGGAAAGCAAGGCUGAGAGAGGUCCAGUAAAUUGUUGAAGCUUCUUAGCUAGUUAGUAAGCUGAAGAGAAACAAUUUGAAGUUAGGUCUAGUUGAUUCCAAUUUAUAGGUGAGGCAUAUAAACUUCAGAGAGAGCCAGCAAUGUGUUCAAGUUCAAGGCUAAAAUUUAUACCCAGAUGUGAUUCCUGCACCUGUGCUCGGUAUCUGUAUUCCUCUGUAUCACAUCUCCCACCAAUGCUAACUCCAUCUCCAAUAACAGUGGCCCUGGUUGGAUGAGCAGUGAGAUAAGCAUUGGAUCCAGUUUUCCUGCCCGAAGGCAGGAUUCUGAGAACAAAUCUCUUGCGAGGAAGUUGCUAAGCAAACCUGACAUCCCCUGGGGAUGUUGGAAAUGGAGUGCAGUUCAAAGGACUGGUGAGUGGCUUUCAAGGUCCAACUAAGGAGGUCACCUGAUCAUUCAGUGUUUGAAAGACACCAGCCAGCCACAGGCAUCCAUCUAACUGACCGGGCCAAUGAAAGACGGUGAGCAAAUAUUCCUGGGAGCUGUAUACGGAGGUAGAGACCCGAUUUCAGGACCAAUACUGCUCAAUACUUAAAGGCCAAUGCCGAAAAAUAAAAUGCAUUAUUCCCCC
rnacentral:lncRNA from 1 species